AGAAUCCAGGCUGUUUGACCUGUAUCAUUUUCCACAGUUUGGCCUUUGCUGAGUGUAUACUCAUGGUGCAGUUCAACAGAUGCUUCUCUCCUCUAUUUCCUGCAAAUUGGCAGCUGGAUCCAGAGGUUAAUUGGACUUCAGUUUGAUCUCACUGGCAAGACUACAGUUUCUGUGGGUCAGGAAUCCAAGAGUGGCUUACAUGGACGGUUCUGAAGUCAUCUGAAGGCUUGACUGGACUGGAAGAUUCACUUCCAAGGUGGUACACUCCAAACCUGGACCGUUGGUGCUGGCUCUUGGCAAGGCCCUCAGUGGCUCACCAUGUGGACCUCUCCUCAGGGCUGCUUGAAUGCCCUAAUGUCCCCAGAAGCAAGUGAUCAAAAAGAACAACGCAGAAGCCACAAUGUUUUUUACGAUCUAGCACUGGAAGUAACACCCUGUCAAUCCCAUGAUGUCCUAUUGCUUACACAGGUUGGGGGAGGGGGAGGAAACUACAUAAGGACAUGAAUGUGAAAAGGAGAGAAACAUUAGGGACCAUCCUGGAGGCUGGUUGAUACUUAAAGAUAAAAUACCAGCAGAGUGUUGUGGCUCACGCCUGUAAUCCCAACACUUCGGGAGGCCAAGGCAGGAAGGUCACUUGAGGCCAAGAGUUUGAG
rnacentral:lncRNA from 1 species